rnacentral:rRNA from 1 species
UACGUAGGUGGCAAGCGUUGUUCGGAAUUACUGGGCGUAAAGGGCGCGUAGGCGGUUCGCUAAGUUGGAUGUGAAAACUCUGGGCUUAACCCAGAGCCUGCAUCCAAAACUGGCGAACUGGAGUACUGGAGGGGAAAGCGGAAUUCCUGGUGUAGCGGUGAAAUGCGUAGAUAUCAGGAGGAACACCGGUGGCGAAGGCGGCUUUCUGGACAGUAACUGACGCUGAGGCGCGAAAGCUAGGGGAGCAAACAGG